AUACGGAGGGUGCAAGCGUUAUCCGGAUUCACUGGGUUUAAAGGGUGCGUAGGCGGGCAGAUAAGUCAGUGGUGAAAUCUUCGAGCUUAACUCGGAAACUGCCGUUGAUACUAUUUGUCUUGAAUAUUGUGGAGGUAAGCGGAAUAUGUCAUGUAGCGGUGAAAUGCUUAGAUAUGACAUAGAACACCAAUUGCGAAGGCAGCUUACUACACAAUGAUUGACGCUGAGGCACGAAAGCGUGGGGAUCAAACAGGAUUAGAUACCCUGGUAGUCCACGCCCUAAACGAUGAUUACUCGACAUACGCGAUAUACUGUGUGUGUCUGAGCGAAAGCAUUAAGUAAUCCACCUGGGAAGUACGAUCGCAAGAUUGAA
rnacentral:rRNA from 1 species